rnacentral:lncRNA from 1 species
UAAAAACAAGCUCCAAUGCCAUUGUCAUAAUCGUUUCAAAAGAACGUAACAUAAGUUAAAUGUAUUGGUUACAAACUAUCAAAUGAAAAUAAGCUGUCAUUGUUUUAUACAUCAAAAUGUAAGUCUUAAAAUCUCAAGACUUUGACCACUAUAUCACCGCAAAGAGGCGGUAUAUAACGGACAAACCCUUCAAAUGGUGGCAUAGAGUCUUGAUACUUGCUUUCCUUGACUUAAAUGUCUGCAUGGUCCACUAAAUUUCCUGAAAUACAUGUUAAGUUUGAAAACAUCAACAAAAGUUGGCGAGUUCAUGCAGUUUAGUUGUAUGAGAUGUAUCUGUAAAAUUUGGAUGAGAUGUAUCUGUAAAAUGUGAGUUGUAUAAAAUGUAUCCAUAAAAUGUGAGUUGUAUAAAAUGUAUCCAUAAAAUGUGAGUUGUAUAAAAUGUAUCUGUAUGUAAUGAUGUAGUAUGUAAAGCGUCAAUGAAAUCGUUGAUCAUUAAUGUUUCGCGAGGACAUUAAUAUGUGUGACGAAAAAGGAAGCAAUCCAACCCUAGACGAUUUUAUGCCGAUUCCUAUCGACUGGGACACAAAAGCACUCUUCCGUAUGGGUCCACGACCAAGAGUGGGGCUCGCCAAAACCCAUUAGAUCUAACCACUUGUACCUAGGUCCAAACUGGAUUAAUGGUGCUUAGAUGUAUAACCCUAAUUCGCACAUGAUCUAAGGUGUUUCAUUCCCUAACUUUAACAUACGUUGAACAUGUAUUUUCCCCGAUAGUUGUAAAGUUGUAAAACAUUUAAAUGAAUAGGGGACAUGAACUCACAGAAUUGCGUCCGUGAAUGGUAAGUAACUGUGAUCUGACGUACGGUCGUCCUGAAUAGUAUCACCACCUACAAACGUUCUAUAUUUGUUAGACACUUCGGUCUUGUAAUGACUUGAGUACAAGUCUUUUAUCUUGAAUAUGUGUUAAGAAUUGUAGGUCUUUGUUAUUCAUUGAACUGUGUCUUAGAUGUAUUAAUUGAUAACUGUUUAGUGUAUAUAUUUCGCCAAAUAUAUAUUCUUGUAUCUCGUGAGUUGUAUCAUCAGGUCUUGUCCUCUGGAUUUCAUGUCUUGUAUGAAUAAAUUGUAUAAUUGUAUUUUUACCAAUUUAUAUGUCAUUGGGCUUAGCCCAAGAAUUCAUGUUGUUGGGCCAAAAUAGUGUUGGGCUUCAAUAGUGUUGGGCCUAAAUAGUGUUGGGCCUAAAUAGUGUUGGGCCUCAAUAGUGUUGGGCUUAAAUAGUGUUGGGCCUUAAUAGUGUUGGGCCUAAAUAGUGUUGGGCCUCAAUAGUGUUGGGCCCAAAUGUUAUUGGGCUUUAUGUUAUUGGGCCUUGGCCCAUAUGUUGGGUAUUGGGCUUAGCCCAUAAGUUUUGGUAUUGGGCUUAGCCCAUGUAUUUAUGUUAAGCCCAUUUAGGAUGAUAAGCCCAUUUGUAAAAAUAGCCCAUUUGUUAUAAAAUAAGCCCAUUUGUUAAAAAUAAGCCCAUUCGUAAAAUAGCCCAUUUGUUAUAAGAGAAGCCCAUUUGUUAAAAAUAUAUUCUUUCAUUUUUAUAAAAAUUACUAAGUAUAGGCUUUUUAGUUAAAAGAAUACACAAUAGUUUUUAUAAGUUUCAAAACAUUCGGAUAUUGUUUUCGGUGAUGUGUAUGUAUUCGUGUCGAAAGAUCGCCUAAACGUCGUAGUAACUUCCUCGGAAUGGCGAGAUGUUCAUAGAUUCGCCCGUCGUCCGUUUUGACCAUAAGUUGUGUUUGAAAGCUCGGAAUGUCCGUAAGGUGUUUAUAAGAUGUAUUUAAAUGUAGUCUUGUAAGACUUUAGUCGAAAUGUACAUUGUGUUCAUUUGUAUCAUUGUAUUCAAGUUCCUAGUUAUCAUAAAUAUAACUAAUACAAACAAAUGACACAUAGCACAUAAGUUGUUAAGUUAACUAAAUAUAUAUUUUCUCAAAAAUAUAUAUUUAUAUCAAACUUUACUUUUAUAAAAACUAUUCUUUAAAAUCUUUUUAAUCUAAUAAAGAUUUUGUCAAAAAUAAUAGUUUUUGUAACUUAUGAUUUUUAAGAAAAACUUGGCCAUAUUUUAUUAGAAAUAUGGACUUUGCCAUGUUUAAUAAAAACACAUCUUUUUCUUAUAAAAUCACCACUAAUCUUCUCAUAUUUUUCUUAAUAAAAACAUAUGAGAUUUAUAACAUAACUUAUCAAGAUGAACUCAUAAUCAUGUAGGGUUUUGGUAUGAUCUUUACAUAUGUUUACUAGUCCAAAAAUCAUAUUUUACUUCUAGUUUUAACAAGCUUUUCAUAAAAAUCUCAAGUUGUAUGUUACUUUUUAUAAUCUUGUAAAAGUAUUGUUUUUAGUAAAAAAACCUCAAAUACUUUCACAAGAUCAAAUGUUAUGAUCAUCCCUUUAAACCUUUAUGUUAAAAACCCUUUAACAUAAACAUGUAUAAUUGUUAGAUCAUAGUUUUAAAACAUCCUCUAGCAAUUUAUUUAUAUCAUAAUCAUCAUAACAAGAUCAAAUAUGCAUAUAACAAGUCUUAGAUCACAAUAUAAACCAACAUAAAUAUAUCAUGAUUAUUAUUUUUGCUUCUUUGUAUUUUUCAUGUUUAUUUUGUAUGAUUAUUUAGUUAUUUAUUAGUUAUAAUAACAAUCAUAAACAUAAUAUAAGUAUGAAAAAAAAUAGAUCUUGAAGCUUACUUCUAGCACUUGGCUAGGGAUGAUCUUAGAAGACGAUUAAGAACUAGGAAGAUGAAGAUCUUGAUGGUAGAAUACUCUUGAAUGGAUGAAAACCCUUCCUUUUACUUACAAAAGCUUUAGAUCUUCUUAUGUUACUUGGAAAUCCAUUUUGAUCAACAAAUAAAAGACUAAAGUGAAGUGGGUUUUUGGUGUUCUUGGUAAGAUGGAUGAAGAUGAUGAGAGAGUUUUAGUGAAAGUAAUAAAAGAUGAAAAAAAAUGAGUGUAAUGAGCUAGAUUACU